CAGCCGCCGCGGGAACACAGAGGGUGCGAGCGUUAAUCGGAUUUACUGGGCGUAAAGCGUGCGUAGGCGGCUUUUUAAGUCGGAUGUGAAAUCCCUGAGCUUAACUUAGGAAUUGCAUUCGAUACUGGGAAGCUAGAGUAUGGGAGAGGAUGGUAGAAUUCCAGGUGUAGCGGUGAAAUGCGUAGAGAUCUGGAGGAAUACCGAUGGCGAAGGCAGCCAUCUGGCCUAAUACUGACGCUGAGGUACGAAAGCAUGGGGAGCAAACAGGAUUAGAUACCCCGGUAGUCCCUGUCUCUUAUAA
rnacentral:rRNA from 1 species